CUUUAUAAAUUAAAGCUUGUAUGAAUGGUAUAAUGAAAAUAUAACUGUCUCUUUUUUAUAAAUAAAAUUUGCUUUUUCAGUGAAGAAGCUGAAGAUUUUUAGAAAGACGAUAAGACCCUAAUGAGUUUUAUAUAUAUAAUUAUAUAUAUAUAAUUAUAUAUAUUUUGUUGGGGUAAUAGAAGAAAAAAUCUUCUUUUAUAUUAAAAAAAUAAUAUUUAUUGAACCAUUAAUAAUGGAUAAAAGUUUAAAUUACCAUAGGGAUAACAGCAUAAUUCUUUUUAAGAGUACAUAUCGACAAAAGAGAUUGUGACCUCGAUGUUGAAUUAAGAGAAUUAUAUAAUGCAGAAAUUAUAUUAAUAAGUCUGUUCGACUUUUAAAUUCUUA
rnacentral:rRNA from 1 species